rnacentral:misc_RNA from 1 species
AAUAAGAAAAGAUUUGGUUGGGAGACCCAAUUGUCCCAUCUAGAAAACCAGUGUGUAGCUGAUUCUUUGUUUGAUUUUUCUGAUUGGAGGGCAGAGGCUGAUGGAAGGAUUCCUUGCCCUCCCAAAGCAAGGGGGGGUUGUGGUACUGAGAUUCUUGUAUUGAGACGUGUCUUUGAAGCUAAUAUGAUUGACGAGCUGAUUACAAGUGCAGAGGAACUUACUAGUAAUUAUAAGCCACCUGAUAUUGAUUGUUUUCGAGUAUGUCAUUUGUGCCA